GGCGGAAGGGCGGGGCGCCGUGAGAGGCCGCUCCUCCCCACCCUGGCGGCUCGCUGCCCACCGCCUCCCGCCACCUACUUCUCCCCGCCCCCCCAUCUUGUUUCCAAGUCACUCCGGAUCUCCCCCCCUCCGAUGUUUUAGGAACGUUUUCCUGUCGCUCCGGUGCCUUCCCAGGUUCUCUGAUUAGAGUGAUCACGUGACAACAGGCCGGAUCCAUGGUAACCACGGCGUCGCAGCAGCCACGGCUUCCCACCCCAGACUACAGGUCAGAGCGCGGGUCCCGGUCAGGGCCGCCGUGCGCUCCCAGGCUCCGCCCCUCCCAGAGGGGUUUCCGGUUUUCUGGGAUCCAGCUGCCCCGGAAUCUUAGAAUUUAAAUUUUCCUUGGCCGUUUCGUAGGUGAAAAAUGAUGUUUCCUGCUGUGUGUAGUUAGCUCGAGGAUAAGAGAGGAAAGAAGAUUCAUGUCCCAGAGCCGAGGAGAGGCCAGCAACAAUCAGGGGAAGAAAAAAGAAGAAGAAGCAACUUGCUCUGGGCGACCAGCAGUCCGCCCUGGGAGGCAUGGCCAGAGCACCUGAAAGCAAUGUUCUCGCACACCUUGGCUAGAAACCACCUGCUUAAGGAGCACGUGGCAUGGCUGCAGGGCACCUGUGUUCGUGGAGGCUCAAUAUAUGAAGCUGCAGCCGCUCCUGGGUGUGGAGGUUUCAGUGUCCGGCUGCCGCUCCGGUCUCUGCUUCUGUCUUUGGAGGCCGGGGCGUCGGAGGAUAUAGCACCAGCAGCUUUAGUGUCUGGUGAGACCUCACUUCCUGACUCAUAAACUGGUGAUGGGUUCCUCCUCUAAGACACCAAAUGGGCCUUCCCAGAGUGACUCGAAUGAACUGUUUAAACAAAAAGCUUUGUUUUGCUGAAACCGGUUUGGCUCAAUGGAUAGAGCGUCGGUCGGCGGACUGAGAGGUCCCGUGUUCGAUUCUGGUCAAGGGCAUGUACCUUGGUU